rnacentral:rRNA from 1 species
CCUACGGGAGGCUGCAGUGGGGAAUCUUAGACAAUGGGCGCAAGCCUGAUCUAGCCAUGCCGCGUGAGCGAUGAAGGCCUUAGGGUUGUAAAGCUCUUUCGGGGGGGAAGAUAAUGACUGUACCCCCAGAAGAAGCCCCGGCUAACUCCGUGCCAGCAGCCGCGGUAAUACGGAGGGGGCUAGCGUUGUUCGGAAUUACUGGGCGUAAAGCGCACGUAGGCGGACGGAGAAGUCAGAGGUGAAAUCCCAGGGCUCAACCUUGGAACUGCCUUUGAAACUUUCUGUCUUGAGGUCGUGAGAGGUGAGUGGAAUUCCGAGUGUAGAGGUGAAAUUCGUAGAUAUUCGGAGGAACACCAGUGGCGAAGGCGGCUCACUGGCACGAUACUGACGCUGAGGUGCGAAAGCGUGGGGAGCAAACAGGAUUAGAUACCCCAGUAGUC